rnacentral:rRNA from 1 species
CCUACGGGCGGCAGCAGUGAGGAAUAUUGGUCAAUGGGCGCGAGCCUGAACCAGCCAAGUAGCGUGAAGGAUGACUGCCCUACGGGUUGUAAACGUCUUUUAUAAAGGAAUAAAGUGAGGCACGUGUGCCUUUUUGUAUGUACUUUAUGAAUGAGGAUCGUCUAACUCCGUGCGAGCAGCCGCGGUAAUACGGAGGAUCCGAGCGUUAGCCGGAUUUAGUGGGUUUAAAGGGAGCGUAGAUGGGUUGUUAAGUCAGUUGUUACAGUUUGCGGCUCAACCGUAAAAUUGCAUUUGAUACUGGCAGUCUUGCGUACAGUUGAGGUAGGCGGACUUCGUGGUGUGGCGGUGAACUGCU